CAGUAGCCGCGGUAAUACGGAGGAUGCAAGCGUUAUCCGGAAUCAUUGGGUUUAAAGGGUCCGUAGGCGGUUUAAUAAGUCAGUGGUGAAAGCCCAUCGCUCAACGAUGGAACGGCCAUUGAUACUGUUGAACUUGAAUUAUUAGGAAGUAACUAGAAUAUGUAGUGUAGCGGUGAAAUGCUUAGAGAUUACAUGGAAUACCAAUUGCGAAGGCAGGUUACUACUAAUAUAUUGACGCUGAUGGACGAAAGCGUGGGGAGCGAACAGGAUUAGAGACCCCUGUAGUCCCUGUCUCUUAUAC
rnacentral:rRNA from 1 species